UUUCCUCAGUUGGAGCCUGAAUGGAGGAACAGACAAUCAAACCAAAGAGCUUUUCUUUUCCCAGGUAUUAAUGCAUAGCUUAGGUAUAUUUUCAAGAUCCUUUAUGCAUAUUGCAUGUAAUAAAGAGAUUAUGCACAAUGAGCAUAAACUUACAAUAUUGGUGACAUCCUACCCCACAAGUUGUGAACAAAUAGAACCCUUUAUGCA